GCACAGGCUGGGAAGGUUAUACAAGCUGUAAGGACAAUAUGGAACAUUACAGGGAAAUAGAAGCACCGCACAGGCUGGGAAGGUUAUACAAGCUGUAAGGACAAUAUGGAACAUUACAGGGAAAUAGAAGCACCGCACAGGCUGGGAAGGUUAUACAAGCUGUAAGGACAAUAUGGAACAUUACAGGGAAAUAGAAGCACCGCACAGGCUGGGAAGGUUAUACAAGCUGUAAGGACAAUAUGGAACAUUACAGGGAAAUAGAAGCACUGCACAGGC